rnacentral:rRNA from 1 species
ACGUGGGUAAUCUGCCCUCGAGUGGGGAACAACCCAGGGAAACUUGGGCUAAUACCGCAUAACAUCCCGACCUCUCCGGGGGACGGGAUCAAAGCCGGGGAUCGAAAGACCUGGUGCUUGAGGAGGAGCCUGCGCCUGAUUAGCUUGUUGGUGGGGUAACGGCCUACCAAGGCUGCGAUCAGUAGCCGGCCUGAGAGGGUGAUCGGCCACACUGGAACUGAGACACGGUCCAGACUCCUACGGGAGGCAGCAGUGAGGAAUUUUGCGCAAUGGGGGAAACCCUGACGCAGCAACGCCGCG